AUAUGGUAUUUUAAAAUUUCUUUGGGUGAGGGGAAGAUACUAUCAAGUAACAAAUCUCAAGACUCAAUCCAAUCACAGCCAUCAGACCAACACACAUUAGAAAAAGUUCAUUAAUAGCACAACACACAGGUGUAUACCAGGCCAUCUACACAGCCCCAAAACAUUGCUCUAGUUUUAUUGACAACAAUGAUGAGAGAAAAGGGGGAGGAGCCAAUUAUUGAUCGGUCAAGCCGUUAAUUAGGUCACACACUAAGCAUGCUAGUACGUUGAUGCUUUUUGUAUGUGUGUGCAACAGACACUGAGCGUGCUCUAAGAUACGUUGUUUUUUUUGGUCAACUAGGUGGCUUGGAGAAGGCGGAAUUCAUCUAGAAUCUAGAUGUAUAGGUAACACAGUUCACAAGCUAUCAUAGCUUUUUAGCCCCUUCCCCGGAAAAAAUAUUCAGUACUGACUUUGGGGCCUUUUUCUUUUGUCAGACUGUGUUAUAUAUAGACUAUAGAGAUAAUAGACUACAUAGAUUAAAGAUACUUAGAGUAAGUUAGAUCAGCGCAUGUUUUGUUUUUAGGUCAACCAGGUAAACUGAUGUGUCCUCGAAUGCCUAGGGGAGGGCGGGAUUAUCUAGAUCUAUAUACUUAAUAUAGACUAUAAUCUAUACGUAGAUCUAGAUUAUAUAGAUCUAGAUCUCAUUCUAUAGUAGCCUUUACUAUCAUGCUAUGAUUUAAACGUAUUUUUAAAAAUCCUUUUCUUUUUCUUAGAAACAGCCUGAUGCCUACUUAUGUACAGCUUAUCCUGUUGAAGAUGAGGAAUAUUAUAUUUAUUCUGAGCCUACUGAUCAUUCAAGUCUUAAGAUAUACACCACAUUUCAGAAGCCUCAGUUUGUGGCUGGAAUAUUUCUUUUGGCUAAUUACUGGUUUCAAAUUCCACCCCAAGUGUCAUGUAAGUAUUGACAUUUCAUGGUAACAAUGUAACAGUUCAACAGACAUGCACAUUAUAAGAGAACCAUGUAAGAGAAGUAUGUGAUAGCACUGUAAGAGAGAUAUAUGAUAAAGUGUAACAGAUCUAUGUGAUGAAACUGUAAUUGAGAUAUAUGAUUAAGUGUAAGAGAAGUAUGUGAUAGCACUGUAAGAGAGAUAUAUGAUUAAGUGUAAGAGAUGUAUGUGAUAGCACUGUAAGAGAGAUAUAUGAUUAAGUGUAACAGAUCUAUGUGAUGAAACUGUAAUUGAGAUAUAUGAUUAAGUGUAAGAGAAGUAUGUGAUAGCACUGUAAGAGAGAUAUAUGAUUAAGUGUAACAGAUCUAUGUGAUGAAACUAAUUGAGAUAUAUGAUUAAGUGUAAGAGAAGUAUGUGAUAGCACUGUAAGAGAGAUAUAUGAUUAAGUGUAAGAGAUGUAUGUGAUAGCACUGUAAGAGAGAUAUAUGAUUAAGUGUAACAGAUCUAUGUGAUGAAACUGUAAUUGAGAUAUAUGAUUAAGUGUAAGAGAAGUAUGUGAUAGCACUGUAAGAGAGAUAUAUGAUUAAGUGUAACAGAUCUAUGUGAUGAAACUAAUUGAGAUAUAUGAUUAAGUGUAAGAGAAGUAUGUGAUAGCACUGUAAGAGAGAUAUAUGAUAAAGUGUAACAGAUCUAUGUGAUGAAAUUGUAAUUGAGAUAUAUGAUUAAGUGUAAGAGAAGUAUGUGAUAGCACUGUAAGAGAGAUAUAUGAUUAAGUGUAAGAGAAGUAUGUGAUAGCACUGUAAGAGAGAUAUGUCUAUGAUUAAAUGUAAGGGAAGUAAUCAUAAUUUUCAAAAUUAUUUAUUGACCAUAAAAUGUAAGAGCCCUAAUAUCUGGUCUUUUGGAAUUGUUGAGAAAUGUAAACUGUUUGCUAUUCUUUGUAUAUUAUAGCAUAUUGUAGCAUAUCCUGUAGA